rnacentral:snRNA from 1 species
GUGCUCACAUCAGCAGCACAUAUACUAAAAUUGGAAUGAUGCAGAGGAGAUUAGCAUGGGCCCUGUGCAAGGAUGACACACAAAUUCGUGAAGCAUUCCAUAUUUUU